rnacentral:lncRNA from 1 species
AUCAUUUUGAUGAUGAUAGUAAAUUAUGAUGUAAAAUUUUUUUUGUAGAUAAUAAAAGCUUCAUAGACACGUUAUUCUACUCAGCUUUCUCACAAAUGCGACUACUGACUAACCGACUCAGAAGAGUCUCUACGUCUUUAGUCGGUUUCAUUGGAGUUGCAGUCAAUGUGAAAGAAAAAAUUACUCUCCCUCUGACCAC